ACGGAGGAUCCGAGCGUUAUCCGGAUUUAUUGGGUUUAAAGGGAGCGUAGAUGGAUGUUUAAGUCAGUUGUGAAAGUUUGCGGCUCAACCGUAAAAUUGCAGUUGAUACUGGAUAUCUUGAGUGCAGUUGAGGCAGGCGGAAUUCGUGGUGUAGCGGUGAAAUGCUUAGAUAUCACGAAGAACUCCGAUUGCGAAGGCAGCCUGCUAAGCUGCAACUGACAUUGAGGCUCGAAAGUGUGGGUAUCAAACAGGAUUAGAUACCCUGGUAGUCCACACGGUAAACGAUGAAUACUCGCUGUUUGCGAUAUACUGCAAGCGGCCAAGCGAAAGCGUUAAGUAUUCCACCUGGGGAGUACGCCGGCAACGGUG
rnacentral:rRNA from 1 species